GGGCCCGCACAAGCGGUGGAGCAUGUGGUUUAAUUCGAUGCAACGCGAAGAACCUUACCUACUCUUGACAUCCAGAGAAGCCAGCGGAGACGCAGGUGUGCCUUCGGGAGCUCUGAGACAGGUGCUGCAUGGCUGUCGUCAGCUCGUGUUGUGAAAUGUUGGUUAAGUCCCGCAACGAGCGCAACCCUUAUCCUUGUUUGCCAGCACGUAAUGGUGGGAACUCCAGGGAGACUGCCGGUGAUAAACCGGAGGAAGGUGGGGACGACGUCAAGUCAUCAUGGCCCUUACGAGUAGGGCUACACACGUGCUACAAUGGCAUCUACAGUGGGUUAAUCCCCAAAAGAUGUCUCAG
rnacentral:rRNA from 1 species